GGGAGGUGUUGCAUGCCUAUCAGUACCCAUGUAACCAGUGUUUGCGGGGAAGGGGGGUGAGCGGGGGGCAGCAAAAUCCAUUUUUGCCUGUGCAGCCAAAAAUCCUUGCACCGGCCCUGCCCGUCUGAAUGUGGCCAGUAGCACAGCCCCAAGGAGGUCAGGAAAGAUGCACCAUCCAUAGCAGAUGUCUGCUAGGAUGAUAUUUAGUCCGUCCCCCACCCCCGCCCCAUCAUUGGUCUAAGGAUCUUCCAGCAGUAGGUGAUUCACAAAUCCCUGAGCUAGUUAAUGACUGGGUUGAGAGAUUGCCUCCAUUGUACAUUUCAGUGAGUCAAAUCUUUGUAAAAGAUACAUUGAUUUGUUUCAAA